rnacentral:lncRNA from 1 species
UCAGCUAACAAAGAAAAGAGAUUAUAGGAAUACAGUCAAUCCUUAUACUUACAGCCAAAAUCCAAUAUGGAAUUACAGAUGUUAAUUGAAUUGAAGGCGUUUACAAUCGUGCAAGCUGCAAGUACAAAACCAAAACUAAAACCAAGUUGCCCAACAUAUGCUACAAGUGUAACAUCCAGUUGUGACCCAACUUGGAUCUGUGUGGUGCAGGAUAAGGAGAAUGUUGCAUUUGUCUAUGAUAUGAGAUUGAUGAAGUAGUUGUUUCUUCAAAUCAAGAAGAAAAAGGAAUCCCAGGUACACUAAAAUAAGCAGAUACACAAAGAAUUCUCACAGUUUCUUUUUUUCCCUCACUCUUGCCCUUCUCAUGCGUGGAGCAACAUAACAAAAUCUCCUCAUUCAUGCCAGCAUGAGUCAAUUGACAUGUGUCAGUCAGACAAACAGCAAACUAUAGCGAGACAUCUCCGCGUUUAGACACAGCAGAUAAGUUGACAAGAAUCCUUCUCAAAAGUUGAGAUUCUGCAUCAGGCCAUUUCCAGGAAGCGCAACCAAGCUCUCAUGCAAAGAAAGCUGCCUUUACCAGGGACUUGCUCCGCACAUAUAAAUUUAGCUGAUAGAACAUUCUCCAGCACUCAUUACGUAGUACAUACCUGUGGCAGUAAAUCAUCACUUUUGCUCGACCUCACCGUAUCUUUCACUGCCUUAACCACUGUAAUAUGACGACUACAUCAACAGGAUGCCAACAGAACACAAGCAGUCACACCAAUCAUCCUAUUUCUAUUACAAUAUCUACUCAAUAAUAAUUCAAGCCACAAAGAACUCACUUCAGAACUAAAUCUUCAAAACCAUUUCAUAAGCAAAACCAUGGUUAAAGUCGCUCAGUUUUCCAGUGCAGAGACCCCACACUUAAAUGGCAACCACGAUAUUCCCCUUUACAAGGUAAAUAUUUGGGGUUAUGACAUUUGUCUUCCCAAUUAACUCUGGAGCAUCCUUAUCUUUCAUCCACAUAACUAGGAGUUACAACAAGGAUAUGAUAGAAGUAAGCAAUUUGAGAGACUAGAGUAGAUCGGGGUGAUCUACACCACCCCCCACCCUGAGGACAAAUAUCGUCAUCCAAGAUGCGGAAUCCUUUUCACAUGCCAACUGGGAAACUAUUUAGCAGUUUCAUAUUUGUGUAUCAGCACUUGAGCAGAAAUUGCUGCAGUUGCAUAAUUGUAUCAGCACUUUGAGCAGAAAAUGACUAAGAAACCAUCAACCCAAUCAGAGGAGGUUAUCAGUUGUAAACAUCAAAAUGCUCUCAUUUUUUCCUGGAAACUAAAGGUUCAAAAGGAAAAGCAAGCUAGAUCAAAUCCAAAAAUGAAAGCUACUCCCUGAGGAAAGAUUGCUAUAUUAUGAAACUAGCAUCCAUAACCUUCUAUUCUCAAAUGUUUCAACAAGGCAAUUCUGAUAUGUUUUAAUUUUGUUGCAUCGAGUAAUAAUUGGACCAGAAACAAGAGUUAUUCAGCUCAGUAGGCAUCUCGAUACACCACUAUCAAGUCAGAAAUGUAGCUUUAGGCACCAGAACAAAACAAUAAUGCAUUUGGGAUCAGCCUAAUUCCUUCUAAACAAUAAUGCAUUUGGGAUCAGUAACUAAACAAACCUUUGCUGGCACGCAACACAGAUUCAAUUAUUUUUUGUCAUCUAAGCAGGCUAGAAACUUGAAAUAAAUAUUUAGUGAAAAGAGCAAAGGACCACAGAUGAUAGCCUUACCUGUAGUGUCUUUCUGGAACACAGGGAACAACCAGGAAUUGACUGUGUCUCAGGAGAAACACAUUUUCCAAUUUGUUUACUGCACUAAACAGUUCUGCUGUUCCCCACAAUAAGAUCAGUUGAAAACUCACACAGGAAACAAAGGCAAGGUAAUAUGGUGCAACUUACAGCAAAACUUUCAAGUUCUUUUGCAGCACUUCCAACGAUCGGCAGAUUUAACGGAUACCAGUUGUCCAAAAAAUAUGACCCACACACCCAACCUUCUCGGCUCAUUUAGUAAAGAGAGCAAAAGCUAAUUAGAUGUUGAAGAUUGUAGGCAUGCGGACAUAAGUGAUUAACUCCAUGUAAUACAUUCCUUUCUUUUACCAAAAAAUU